CAGGCUUAACACAUGCAAGUCGAGGGGCAUCAGGAAGAAAGCUUGCUUUCUUUGCUGGCGACCGGCGCACGGGUGAGUAACACGUAUCCAACCUGCCCUUUACUCGGGGAUAGCCUUUCGAAAGAAAGAUUAAUACCCGAUGGCAUAAUGAUUCCGCAUGGUUUCAUUAUUAAAGGAUUCCGGUAAAGGAUGGGGAUGCGUUCCAUUAGGUUGUUGGUGAGGUAACGGCUCACCAAGCCUUCGAUGGAUAGGGGUUCUGAGAGGAAGGUCCCCCACAUUGGAACUGAGACACGGUCCAAACUCCUACGGGAGGCAGCAGUGAGGAAUAUUGGUCAAUGGGCGCUAGCCUGAACCAGCCAAGUAGCGUGAAGGAUGAAGGCUCUAUGGGUCGUAAACUUCUUUUAUAUAAGAAUAAAGUGCAGUAUGUAUACUGUUUUGUAUGUAUUAUAUGAAUAAGGAUCGGCUAACUCCGUGCCAGCAGCCGCGGUAAUACGGAGGAUCCGAGCGUUAUCCGGAUUUAUUGGGUUUAAAGGGAGCGUAGGUGGACUGGUAAGUCAGUUGUGAAAGUUUGCGGCUCAACCGUAAAAUUGCAGUUGAUACUGUCAGUCUUGAGUACAGUAGAGGUGGGCGGAAUUCGUGGUGUAGCGGUGAAAUGCUUAGAUAUCACGAAGAACUCCGAUUGCGAAGGCAGCUCACUGGACUGCAACUGACACUGAUGCUCGAAAGUGUGGGUAUCAAACAGGAUUAGAUACCCUGGUAGUCCACACAGUAAACGAUGAAUACUCGCUGUUUGCGAUAUACAGUAAGCGGCCAAGCGAAAGCAUUAAGUAUUCCACCUGGGGAGUACGCCGGCAACGGUGAAACUCAAAGGAAUUGACGGGGGCCCGCACAAGCGGAGGAACAUGUGGUUUAAUUCGAUGAUACGCGAGGAACCUUACCCGGGCUUAAAUUGCAGUGGAAUGAUGUGGAAACAUGUCAGUGAGCAAUCACCGCUGUGAAGGUGCUGCAUGGUUGUCGUCAGCUCGUGCCGUGAGGUGUCGGCUUAAGUGCCAUAACGAGCGCAACCCUUAUCUUUAGUUACUAACAGGUUAUGCUGAGGACUCUAGAGAGACUGCCGUCGUAAGAUGUGAGGAAGGUGGGGAUGACGUCAAAUCAGCACGGCCCUUACGUCCGGGGCUACACACGUGUUACAAUGGGGGGUACAGAAGGCAGCUAGCGGGUGACCGUAUGCUAAUCCCAAAAGCCUCUCUCAGUUCGGAUCGAAGUCUGCAACCCGACUUCGUGAAGCUGGAUUCGCUAGUAAUCGCGCAUCAGCCACGGCGCGGUGAAUACGUUCCCGGGCCUUGUACACACCGCCCGUCAAGCCAUGGGAGCCGGGGGUACCUGAAGUACGUAACCGCAAGGAUCGUCCUAGGGUAAAACUGGUGACUG
rnacentral:rRNA from 1 species